GGGGAAUUAACUUAGUUCGGGAGAGCGUUGCAAUAGCAUUGCAACGCUCAAGGGUUCAAGCCACGUAUUUUCCA
rnacentral:tRNA from 1 species